UCCAGCGGUAGUCAGCUGUCCGGUGCUCUUCCCGUGCCCGCGACCGUGUUACGCUGCUGGGAGAUUGAGAUGCUGCCGUCGCAUGCGCGGCGUCGCGGCCCCCGUUCUGGCGGACGCGGCGCCGGUAUGAGGCAACGUCGGGCUUCCUCGAGAGUGCGCUGGACGCUAUCCUCGGCUGUGCAGCGCUAGUCUGGAAGCGGACAUU